GGAAUAUUGCACAAUGGGCGCGAGCCUGAACCAGCCAAGUAGCGUGCAGGAUGACGGCCCUAUGGGUUGUAAACUGCUUUUGUAUGGGGAUAAAGUCAAUCACGUGUGAUUGUUUGCAGGUACCAUACGAAUAAGGACCGGCUAAUUCCGUGCCAGCAGCCGCGGUAAUAUGGAAGGUCCGGGCGUUAUCCGGAUUUAUUGGGUUUAAAGGGAGCGUAGGCCGGAGAUUAAGUGUGUUGUGAAAUGUAGACGCUCAACGUCUGACUUGCAGCGCAUACUGGUUUCCUUGAGUACGCACAACAUUGGCGGAAUUCGUCGUGUAGCGGUGAAAUGCUUAGAUAUGACGAAGAACUCCGAUUGCGAAGGCAGCUGACGGGAGCGCAACUGACGCUUAAGCUCGAAGGUGCGGGUAUCGAACAGGA
rnacentral:misc_RNA from 1 species